rnacentral:sRNA from 1 species
UCUGUUGGUGCCUAUAGUUUCUCUCCCCUGUUGAAAAACUGAUUCGAUCAUGCCCUUCAAGCCAGGGGAGAGUGUCAGUUGAUUUUGAUGGAAGGGGAUAAUAGCGAUGCAAUACGAAGCUCUUGUGCAUCCGCGUGCAUCUCGAAGAUGGGAGGUGGGGAAUCGAGGGUCAGCUCGGGACUUCUCCAUCAUGAUCAGGACAUAGCUCAGCCAAGGGCCGACGCAUGGAGCUGUGGCCAUCCAACG